rnacentral:rRNA from 1 species
UACGGAGGGGACUAGCGUUGUUCGGAAUUACUGGGCGUAAAGCGCACGUAGGCGGAUUGUUAAGUCAGGGGUGAAAUCCCGAGGCUCAACCUCGGAACUGCCUUUGAUACUGGCAAUCUCGAGUCCGGAAGAGGUGAGUGGAAUUCCUAGUGUAGAGGUGAAAUUCGUAGAUAUUCGCAAGAACACCAGUGGCGAAGGCGGCUCACUGGUCCGGUACUGACGCUGAGGUGCGAAAGCGUGGGGAGCAAACAGG